rnacentral:lncRNA from 10 species
AACAUUCAUUCCCAGGAAAUCUGCUCUCCACUGGAACAGUCUUCAUGGAGGUUUGCUGGGGGAACUUCCUUAUCUUUUUCUCAACCGGAAAAGCUGUAGGUGGAGGUGAAUGUGUAUGUGUGUAUGUGUGUGUGUGGUGGUUGUUGGGGAUAGCCUCCAUGUGAUUUCAAGGGGAUGGGGUCUGUUUGUGUGUGUGUCGGGGAGACUUGAGAUAGAGGGUUGUUCCUGGCUGCCUUCCACACUGUGGGCAGGUGGAGGUGUGGCUGGGCAUGAGUAGUGCAGUAUAAAGCCAGCAAAAGUGGAUUUCUCAGGGUGGAAAUAAUAAUCCUUGACUCUAGGAAGCCUGGCUCACCUGCAAACUGCAUUCUCAGCACAGGGGAGGGCAGGAUGCUGCCACAGACCCAGGGAUUUUGCCCUCUUACCUGACCCAUCAGUGAAGGGUAGGGGCAGCACCUGUAUUGUGGGGAGCGUCAGUGUAUGUGUCUCUUUGUGUGGGCAGCAUGUCUGUGUGGGUGUGUGUGUGGGGGGCAUCAUGUCUGUGUGUGUGUGUGUGUGUGUGUAUGUAGGUGAUUACGUGUGUAGGUGUGUGCAGGGAGGUCUCUGUGCCUACCAUACCACUAAUGGUUCAUUUCUGGGUUUUUCUUAUCCUUAG